GUAGGUGAACCUGCGGAAGGAUCAUUAUCAAAACAGCGGACUUCGGUCUUUGCUGCACCCUUGUCUUUUGCGCACCGAAUUGUUUCCUCGGCGGGCUUGCCUGCCGGUUGGACAUUAUCAAAACCUUUUUGUAGUUGCAAUCAGCGUCAGAAAAAUCAUAAUUAUUACAACUUUCAACAACGGAUCUCUUGGUUCUG
rnacentral:misc_RNA from 1 species